AUUGAACGCUGGCGGCAUGCCUAACACAUGCAAGGCGAACGGCAGCACAAUAAAGAUUUCGGUCUUUAUGGGUGGCGAGUGGCGGACGGGUGAGUAACGCGUAGGAAUCUGUCCUGGAGAGUGGGAUAACCUGAGGAAACUCGGGCUAAUACUGCAUGACAUUGAGAGAUCAAAAGCAGGGGACCGAAAGGCCUUGCGCUCUGGGGUGAGCCUACGUCGGAUUAGCUAGUUGGUGGGGUAAAGGCCUACCAAGGCGACGAUCCGUAGCUGGUCUGCGAGGAUGACCAGCCACACUGGGACUGAGACACGGCCCAGACUCCUACGGGAGGCAGCAGUGGGGAAUCUUGGACAAUGGGGGAAACCCUGAUCCAGCGAUGCCGCGUGUGUGAAGAAGGCCUUCGGGUUGUAAAGCACUUUAGGUGGGGAAGAAAGGUAGCGAGUGAAUAACUUUCUGCUGUGACGGUACCCACAGAAUAAGCACCGGCUAACUCUGUGCCAGCCGCCGCCGUAA
rnacentral:rRNA from 1 species